UAGCUCAGAUGGUAUAGUGUCUGCCUACAAUGCAGGAGACCCAGGUUCGAUCCCUGG
rnacentral:tRNA from 1 species